AUGUGCUUUCAUUUUGUGCCAAACAUGGAGUUCAAACACCACAUUUCAGUGAGUUAUAUGUGGAUUUCAUUAAUUCUCGUGCGGAGGAUGAGACUAAAGUUGAGCACCAUUAUCGUUGUGACAUUUUCAUGGUUGCUCUUGAUGUUGGGGAAUGCAGUAGCAAUUGCACCAGUAUUGUCACAAAAGAUUUUCAUUGGACCCGAUGCACUAGGUAUGACACCUAGAUCGGAUAUGAACUCCUUCAUCCAAGAUCCUUCAUUUGCUGCUUCCGAAGCAGCAAUGUACUCCGCUUCACACGUAGAUCCCGCCACGACGCUCUGCUUGGAACUGCAACAACUAACAGCUCCUCCAUUCAAUAAAAAUACGUAUCCGGUUUGCGACUUAGAGUCGUCCAGAUUGAAGGAAAUAUGCCCUAGAGGUGUCUCCGAAGGUACUUGUUGA
rnacentral:rRNA from 1 species